CUACUUGAGUUCGCCAAAGUCAGAACCUAUAUUCAAAGUGUCUCUUCGGGGACUAUGGACAUAAACGCGCUCGUAAUAAGCGGAUCGGACCCGGGGGCGGUACCCGGCGACUCCACCAAACAUCCUUCAUUUGGGGAUCAUGGGGUCGAAAUAGGAUCGACGAACGUCUAAAGGGGUUAUGCUUUGUCUCGGUGAGAUACCACCGUUAUCGGUUCAAACUGUACAAUUGCAAAUGACAAUCGUGCUCCGGCAAUGGCUCUGGCUGCGUAAGCAGUUCGGGUCGCCGAAAUUAAGUCCUGACGCUUAGCAGCCUCAGGCGGGGUUCGGAGGUACCUGGCAACAGAAACCUCCACU
rfam:Donghicola sp. JL3646 contig1, whole genome shotgun sequence.